rnacentral:hammerhead_ribozyme from 1 species
AUCCAGCAGACGAGUUCCAAAUAGUACGAAACUCGCGUCCUGAAU